rnacentral:rRNA from 1 species
AACGUAGGGGGCCAGCGUUGCUCGGAAUUACUGGGCGUAAAGGGUCCGUAGGCGGUGUGGCAAGUCGGAAGUGAAAUCUCAGGGCUUAACCCUGAGGCUGCUAACGAAACUGCUGUGCUAGAGUGUGAGAGAGGCGAGUGGAAUUACGGGUGUAGCGGUGAAAUGCGUAGAUAUCCGUAGGAACAUCCGAGGCGAAGGCGGCUCGCUGGAUCACAACUGACGCUGAGGGACGAAAGCUAGGGGAGCAAACAGG